GACGAACGCUGGCGGCGUGCCUAAUACAUGCAAGUCGAACGCAGUGGGGACGGGUGAGUAACACGUGGGUAACCUCCCAUCAGAGGGGAUAACACUUGGAAACAGGUGCUAAACCGAUACUGAUGGAUGGACCCGCGGUGCAUUAGCUAGUGGGUGAGGUAACGGCUCACCAAGGCCACGAUGCAUAGCCGACCGGAGGGGGUAAACGGCAAAACGGGCACUGAGACACGGCCCAGACUCCUACGGAAGGCAGCAGUAGGGAAUCUGCGGAAAUGAAGGAAAGUCUGACCGAGCAAGGCCGCGUGAGUGAGGAGGGUUUUCGGUUCGUAAGACUCUGUUGUUAGAGAAGCGGUAUCUAACCAGAAAGCCACGGCUAACUAUGUGCCAGCAGCCGCGGUAAUUC
rnacentral:rRNA from 1 species